rnacentral:rRNA from 1 species
CCCUUUGAUACUCUGGGCGGCACGCGCGCUACAAUGGAUAAUACAACGUGUUACUUAACCGAAAGGUUAUGUAAAUCACAAAUGUUACGUCUUGAAUGGGAUAGUUUAUUGCAACUACAGACUUGAACUAGGAAUCCCUUGUAGGUACACUGAAGCAUAGUGUACCGAAUACGUCCCUGCCGUUUGUACACACCGCCCGUCGUUUCUUCCGACUGAUACUCAUUGUGAAUUACGAGGAUGCGUUAGCAAAAUCGUUGUAAAUGCUGGGUAUUGGAGGAAGAAAAANUCGUAACA